GGUGCUUACGCAGUGACUAGUUGUGGGGACCAUUCCACGGUUUCCGUGACGCAGCUAACGCAUUAAGUUCCCCGCCUGGGGAGUACGGCCGCAAGGCUAAAACUCAAAGGAAUUGACGGGGACCCGCACAAGCGGCGGAGCAUGCGGAUUAAUUCGAUGCAACGCGAAGAACCUUACCAAGGCUUGACAUAUACGAGAACGGGCCAGAAAUGGUCAACUCUUUGGACACUCGUAAACAGGUGGUGCAUGGUUGUCGUCAGCUCGUGUCGUGAGAUGUUGGGUUAAGUCCCGCAACGAGCGCAACCCUCGUUCUAUGUUGCCAGCACGUAAUGGUGGGAACUCAUGGGAUACUGCCGGGGUCAACUCGGAGGAAGGUGGGGAUGACGUCAAAUCAUCAUGCCCCUUAUGUCUUGGGCUUCACGCAUGCUACAAUGGCCGGUACAAAGGGCUGCAAUACCGUAAGGUGGAGCGAAUCCCAAAAAGCCGGUCCCAGUUCGGAUUGAGGUCUGCAACUCGACCUCAUGAAGUCGGAGUCGCUAGUAAUCGCAGAUCAGCAACGCUGCGGUGAAUACGUUCCCGGGUCUUGUACACACCGCCCGUCAAGUCAUGAAAGUCGGUAACACCUGAAGCCGGUGGCCCAACCCUUGUGGAGGGAGCCGUCGAAGGUGGGAUCGGUAAUUAGGACUAAGUCGUAACAAGGUAGCCGUACCGGAAGGUGCGGCUGGUUCCCCCCUCCUUU
rnacentral:rRNA from 1 species